UACGUAGGGGGCAAGCGUUGUCCGGAUUUAUUGGGCGUAAAGAGCUCGUAGGCGGUUCGACAAGUCGGGUGUGAAACUCCGGGCUCAACCCGGAGACGCCACCCGAUACUGUCGUGACUGGAGUCCGGUAGGGGAGUGGGGAAGUUCCUGGUGUAGCGGUGAAAUGCGCAGAUAUCAGGAGGAACACCGGUGGCGAAGGCGCCACUCUGGGCCGGUACUGACGCUGAGGAGCGAAAGCGUGGGUAGCAAACAGG
rnacentral:rRNA from 1 species